AUGUUGAACAACAUAAAAAUUGUAUUCUGGAAUGUCCGUGGCCUGAAUUGCCGUGCGAGACGCACUGCCGUCCGCAGCAUGGUCUCCUCCGCUGCGCCGUCCAUCAUCUGUCUCCAAGAAACCAAACUCUCCAUGGUCUCGCCUGAUGUCAUCGCCCAGACCCUGGGUCCUGAGUUCGCCGACUACUACUGGCUACCUACGGAUGGUAUGCGAGGUGGCAUCAUCCUCGCUUGGCGAGCGGAUCACGUCUCCCUCUCUAACCGUGCCGUUGGCCUAUACCACGUCUCCGCCACCGUGAUGCCCGCCUCGGGCGGCCCCCCGUGGUGGACCACGGAUGUCUACGGGCCACAGGCAGAU
rnacentral:rRNA from 1 species